rnacentral:lncRNA from 1 species
UUUUCUCAAACUUGCCUUUGAAAAAGGUGUUUCAGAGUAGAGAGAGCCUCUCAGGUUUUGUUGGGACAAUGACUGCACAAUUCCUAUUACAAUAUUGGAGAACAGAAAGGAACUGACGUCAAUUCCUGAUAAUUUUUCCACUUGGUGUCUGAUUUUCUCUGUACUUCACUUUCUACAGAGUUCCAGAGCCAACAUCAUCUCUACCGGCUCUGAAAUCUCUGCAUUUCUUUGCUGCACAACAGAGGCAUGCCCCUGUGUUCCUAUGGGCAGAAUUCACCUUCAGUCAGUAAUUCUUUGCAGCCAAGUUUGGACAUUAAAAUGAGCAUUGCAGGCAGAAGACAAAAAUGUCAAAGAUCACUGAGAGAAACUAAUGACCUGGCUCUGGACAGGACCACAGGGCCUCAGAAUGACACCAUUUUCCAGAGCUGAACAUGACAAUGACUUAGUAAUGCCUGUCUGCAGCAGAAGAACAAGCCAAAAAGCACCAGCAGCAGGCAGACUCCUCCCAGCCAGGGGCUCAGCACAUCACCUCGGAGCCCGCGGGAGGUGUCUACAGCAAUCCCGAGGAGCUUUCCCACCCCACAGGCACAUGCACACACUCCUGCUGUUGCUGACCCCAGGACAGCAUCUACCAGGCAUAGUCUGGUUUAGUGCUGGUGCUUCGUGCAUCCAGCUUAAAAAUAAAGGGACUUGACAAGCAGAAGGACUCCUUGUUUUCACUGGGAAAUACUCAGCAUCCUACAGGUGAGCAGUAGGCAGCAGGAAAGGAGGGUGAAGCUUGUGACAGCAGCUGUUGGUGUCUGGUCAGCAUCCCCCAGCUGUGCUCUCCCCCAGGGACACAGGGAUGGGCCCGACAGCACGCCACGGAUCCCGACUCCUCCGCCUUGGCUCUGCCUGCUGGAGCGGCCGCGGCAUCCACAGCUCCCCUCCGGAGGAAAAAGUGGGACUGGUGGUGAGUUCUGCCUUUGUGCCCUCACUUCUUUCCUCACCCACAGCUUGGGCUAAGGCCCAGUCUUCUCAGAAGAGCUUCCUUGCUCUUCUUUUCCAUACAGGUUUGCUUAGGUAUUAGGUUUGCUUCAGUCCUGUUCCCCACCCCUACUAGAAACCCAGAAACUUCCCAGGAACUGUCCUCCACACCUCACAGAAGGUCUCCUGUUCCCACCUCCUAGAAAACAAGUUUGAUUGUGGGAGAGGGAAUGCUCUCACAGCAUCCCAUAGAGGGAUGUGUAACAAAAUCCCGUUUUUGUAGAGUGCUCUUCUAUGAGCCUUGAUUAUACUUCCCAGCAGAACUAUGCUAAUUUGAGAUUAUGGAAGACAUAUAACUCCUAACUAAAUCUUCAGCAGCAGCUCUCUGUCUUACUGCAUCACCUCCCAGGAUAGUAGAUGCGCAGAGUUCUCAGGUAUGAUUGGUGGUGAGCUGCACUACUGGAACUAUCAAGCAAUUAGUACUGUUUCAAUAAAGGUUAUAUACAGAAAAACUCA